rnacentral:rRNA from 1 species
AAGGGUGACGAAGCGACGCCGCGUGUGGGAAGAAGGCCUUCGGGUUGUAAACCACUGUCGGGAGUUAGGAAAUGCAGGUGCGUUAAUAGCGCACUUGCUUGACUAAGGCUCCAGAGGAAGCCACGGCUAACUCUGUGCCAGCAGCCGCGGUAAUACAGAGGCGGCAAGCGUUGUUCGGAAUUAUUGGGCGUAAAGAGCACGUAGGCGGCCUUGCAAGUCAGUUGUGAAAGCCUUCCGCUUAACGGAAGAACGGCAUCUGAUACUACAGGGCUUGAGUACGGGAGGGGAGAGUGGAACUUCUGGUGGAGCGGUGAAAUGCGUAGAUAUCAGAAGGAACGCCGGCGGCGAAAGCGACUCUCUGGUCCGAAACUGACGCUGAGUGUGCGAAAGCUAGGGGAGCAAACGGGAUUAGA